AUUGAACGCUGGCGGCAUGCUUUACACAUGCAAGUCGAACGGUAACAGGCCGCAAGGUGCUGACGAGUGGCGAACGGGUGAGUAAUGCAUCGGAACGUGCCCAGUCGUGGGGGAUAACGCAGCGAAAGCUGCGCUAAUACCGCAUACGAUCUAUGGAUGAAAGCGGGGGACCGUAAGGCCUCGCGCGAGUGGAGCGGGCGAUGUCAGAUUAGGUAGUUGGUGGGGUAAAGGCUCACCAAGCCAACGAUCUGUAGCUGGUCUGAGAGGACGACCAGCCACACUGGGACUGAGACACGGCCCAGACUCCUACGGGAGGCAGCAGUGGGGAAUUUUGGACAAUGGGCGCAAGCCUGAUCCAGCAAUGCCGCGUGCAGGAAGAAGGCCUUCGGGUUGUAAACUGCUUUUGUACGGAACGAAACGGCUCUGGUUAAUACCUGGGGCUAAUGACGGUACCGUAAGAAUAAGCACCGGCUAACUACGUGCCAGCCGCCGCCGUAAGAC
rnacentral:rRNA from 1 species